ACGGAGGUUGCAAGCGUUGUUCGGAAUAACUGGGCGUAAAGGGAGCGCAGGCGGUUGGGUAAGUCUAAAGUGAAAGCCCCGGGCUCAACCUCGGAAGUGCUUUGGAUACUGGCUUACUUGAAUACGUGAGAGGAAAGCGGAAUUCCUGGUGUAGGGGUGAAAUGCGUAGAUAUCAGGAGGAACACCGGUGGCGAAGGCGGCUGACUGGACCGAUAUUGACGCUGAGGCGCGAAAGCGUGGGGAGCAAACAG
rnacentral:rRNA from 1 species